AUGCGGAGGCCGGCCGGGGGGUCCGGGGCCCAGCAUGGAGGCCGAGGCGGCUCCGGCAGCGGGCUACGCGGUCAUGGGCGCGGCCAGGGACAACCAGGGCCAGGGAGUGCGCGGCGGCAAGGCAGAGGACAGGGAGUGGAUUCCUGUCACCAAUCUGGGCCGCCUGGUGAAGGACGUGAAGAUCAAGUCCCUGGAGGAGAGCUACCUGUUCUCGCUGCCCAUCAAGGAGUCUGAAAUCAUCCACUUCUUCCUGGGUGCUUCCCUCAAGGAGGAGGUGCUGAAGAUCAUGCCGGUGCAGAAGCAGAUGCGUGCCAGCCAGCGCAUCCGCUUCAAGGCCUUCAUCGCCAUCGGGGCUACCAGGCCACGUGGACCUGGGUGUCAAGUGCUCCAAGAAGGUGGCAACGGCCAUCCGGGGCGCCACCAUCCUGCCAAACUGUCCAUCGCGCCCAGGCUACUGGGGCAGCAAGAUCGGCAAGCCCCACACCGUGCCCUGCAAGGUGACGGAGCGCUGCGGCUCCAUACUGGUGCGUCUCAUCCCUGCACCCUGUGGCACUGGCAUCGUGUCGGUACCGGUGCCCAAGAAGCUGCUCAUGAUGGCUGGUAUUGACAACUGCUACACUUCGACCCGCGGGUGCACCGCCACCCUCGGCAACUUCGCCAAGGACACCUUUGAUGCCAUCUCCAAAACUUACAACUACCUGACUCCCGACCUCUGGAAGGAGACUGUAUUCACCAAGUCUCCAUACCAGGAAUUCACGGACCACCUGGUGAAGACGCACACCAGUGUGUCCGUGCAGAGGACCCAGGCCCCCGCUGUGGCUACCACCUAAUUUUGUACACAAGGAAAAUAAAGCAAUUUGAACUGAAAAAAAAAA